CACAUGCAAGUCGAACGGUAACAUUUCUAGCUUGCUAGAAGAUGACGAGUGGCGGACGGGUGAGUAAUGCUUGGGAACUUGCCUUUGCGAGGGGGAUAACAGUUGGAAACGACUGCUAAUACCGCAUAAUGUCUUCGGACCAAACGGGGCUUCGGCUCCGGCGCAAAGAGAGGCCCAAGUGAGAUUAGCUAGUUGGUAAGGUAACGGCUUACCAAGGCGACGAUCUCUAGCUGUUCUGAGAGGAAGAUCAGCCACACUGGGACUGAGACACGGCCCAGACUCCUACGGGAGGCAGCAGUGGGGAAUAUUGCACAAUGGGGGAAACCCUGAUGCAGCCAUGCCGCGUGUGUGAAGAAGGCCUUCGGGUUGUAAAGCACUUUCAGUUGUGAGGAAAAGUUAGUAGUUAAUACCUGCUAGCCGUGACGUUAACAACAGAAGAAGCACCGGCUAACUCCGUGCCAGCAGCCGCGGUAAUACGGAGGGUGCGAGCGUUAAUCGGAAUUACUGGGCGUAAAGCGCACGCAGGCGGUUUGUUAAGCUAGAUGUGAAAGCCCCGGGCUCAACCUGGGAUGGUCAUUUAGAACUGGCAGACUAGAGUCUUGGAGAGGGGAGUGGAAUUCCAGGUGUAGCGGUGAAAUGCGUAGAUAUCUGGAGGAACAUCAGUGGCGAAGGCGACUCCCU
rnacentral:rRNA from 1 species